AUUGGAGUCACUUAAGUGGUCCUGAUCACCGGCAGGCUGGACACAACGACUGAGGGACGAAGAUAACGAACUUUGCGCUUCAUGCACGAACGUUGAUGCGUGUAUUAGAGAAGCCUACAUUGCACUUUAUACCUGGAUUACACAAGCAAGUUACGUCCUGGCGAUGUCGUA